GCCGCGUUCGUAUAACGGUUAGUACGGUAGAUUCUCAAUCUAUCAACAAGGGUCCGACUCCCUUACGCGGCA
rfam:Microgenomates bacterium GW2011_GWC1_39_12 TT26_C0008, whole genome shotgun sequence.